GACCGCACCGGUGGCCUAGUGGUUAGAGCGUCCAUCUCGGAUGCAGGAUGUUGUGGGUUCAAUCCCAGGCCGAGUCA